rnacentral:rRNA from 1 species
UACGUAGGUGGCAAGCGUUGUUCGGAUUUACUGGGCGUAAAGGGCGCGUAGGCGGCCUGUGCAAGUCAGUUGUGAAAUCUCCGAGCUUAACUCGGAACGGUCAACUGAUACUGCUCGGCUAGAGUGCGGAAGGGGCAACUGGAAUUCUUGGUGUAGCGGUGAAAUGCGUAGAUAUCAAGAGGAACACCUGAGGUGAAGACGGGUUGCUGGGCCAACACUGACGCUGAGGCGCGAAAGCCAGGGGAGCAAACGGG